UCCACAGCAGAGAGAAGCCGCACACGUGUGAUCAGUGUGGAAAGAGUUUCGCUAUUAAAAGUCACCUGAAGCUACACACGAGGAUCCAUGCAGUGGAGAAACCAGAUCACCGGAAUCUGAGGUUACAAAAUUCCGCAAAGCUAUUGGAAGGAGAUGACGAAGAGAACAGGAGUUAUCCAGAAACCUGCAGAAAGAAAUAGGUGCAGAACAAAGAGACCUGAUGGAUUCGAACACGAAAGGAGAAAGUGAAGCUAAAAAUCGGUCACCUGUCCUUAAUCACAUGUAAAUCAAGACGGUGUGCAUUGUUUAAGUGCAGGAAGUCACUGAAAAAAACUUUCAAGUGUUCACACUGCAAAUAGAGAUUCAAUCUGUCAGAAAUCCUGGAAACACAUUAAAGGAUUCACACUGGAGAGAAACCACAUCGCAGUUAGAUCAAUUAUAUUGUCUUCAGUCAGAGACGACACAAAGAAACACCAGUUGGAAAUUCAUCUUCACGACCAGCGGUGUGAGGAUUAGAGCAAUUCAAAGAUGGUGGAGUUCCUUUUUAAAUAAUAUCUACGUUUUAUUCAUGUCAUUCUGUUUUAUUAUAUAAUUAUUGUCAUGUGGAGUUUGCAAUAAAGUGAGAAGAUGGAUCUAUUUGCAGCAGUAUAACAUUUAUUAUACAGAAGCCCUCAAAACCAAACACUCCAAUUAAGAACAGAACAAGUGGCACAACACAAACUCUGACAAAGAACUGAAAGAAACAGAACUUAAAUACACUGAAUAAAUGGGGGCUAAUGCUAUUUCAUGCACAAGUUAUUUACACUGUUUAAGAGUUGGAUUCUCACGUUUAAUGUGGCCAAAGUUUAACAAAAUGAUUUGAAUAUCUGACAGAGUAUUUCUGUGUGGGCACUUCACACAUGGACCAGAGUGAGAGCAAGAGCGCGCCCAUCAACGUGCUUCAUUCGGCAGCACUGCACAGGACUUUCUCUGGAACAAUGUCUCCAAAGAAGUGUGUUUUUGGUUGUGAGGGAAAGAUAACCUUUUUUAGCUUCCCAAAGAACACAGCACUAUGUGAAUAAUGCAUACAGUUUGUUUUUCCGGGGCAGAAACAGAGUUUCGCAAGUGUCUGAUUGCUUCCGUCAUUUCAGUGACAAUUUUUUUUUAUAAACGAGGCCCAGUUCGGCACUGGAUUUGCAAAUCGUUUCAUACUGAAAGAUGGAGUGUUCCCAACGAUUAAAGAUCCUGGUCAUGAUUCAGACCUGCAGGAGGUGAGUGAAACUGCAUCAAAUUUCUGUUUUGUUAGCCGUCAGCGCGCAAGUGCUCAUGACUGUUUUGCUCCAUCCACGGCACACUUCCAGGAGCUCGGCUGUUUUUGGAGAGAAACGUAUACCUGUACCUUUCUGUUAUAAAUCUGAUAGAACUAAACACUUUUUGAGGAUAUGAAGGAUGCAAUACUACUCUAUAGGUACUGAAGAUUAACGUGAGAUUGGGCGUGACUAUGUUAUGCCUCAAAGUAAAUGAGAUACUUGACCAUACUAAUCAAUCAAAUUAAAGUCCAAGGUAACUGAUUAACACUGGAAAGUAAGUGAAAAAGACAUUACUGAAAUACACAAACCCCACCCUAAACAGAACAGAAUUAAGCCCCCCCCCCCCAUCAAAAAGGCACAACAACGCACCUUAAAUGAAAAUGAAACAUCCAACAGAGGAGGCUUAGGUGGUAAACACAACCAGGAUACCAAAGAGGCAGGAUCACGUCAGAGUCAGCAAUAGGAUGGAAACCCCAGCAGAAGAGACUGAACGCAAACCUAUGGCACAAUCAAGUCACCUUUAUUUAUUUAUAUAGCGCUUUUAACAAUACAGAUUGUGUCAAAACAGUUUUACAAUGUUAAAUACAAAAAUAGUGUAGGACAGUA